rnacentral:miRNA from 1 species
UGAUGGUUUUCGGGCUGUUGAA